UUGAAAAAGGUUUCAUGUAUUGUUUUUUUCACAAAUCAGAAUUCAGACAUUUGAAUCCAAUUAUAUUUUUUGACAAAAAUAAUAAAUAAAUAAAAAUUGGAUCUAAAUGUCUGAAUUCUGAUUUGUGAGAAAACAGUACAUGAAAUAUUUCUCAAUUAUAUAAGCUUUUGCUCUUUUUUUUGGUAUUUUUGUUGUUCUAUUUGUUCCUUAGGUAGAUUCAUAUAUGGUUUUCAUGUGAUAUGACAAUGUAAUGAAGCAUCCAUGCUCUGUUUAGCCAAAACUAUAUAUCUAUUCAUCGCAAUUUCUAAACACACAGUUGGUAUCUGGAUUCUACUGUUAUAAUAAACUUACAUAACUUAUCUUUUAAAGAAGCAUGCAGUUUUAUGAUUAUUAUGAGUAAGAUUGCAUGAUUGCAUCAUCCUUUAUCCUGAUUUGUGAACUUUUUCUUAUAUAUGCAUUUACAUUCUGGGAUAAACCAAAAUGAUGCUGGGAAGUAGUAUAGAAUCUCAAACACUUUAACAAGAAGUCGUUCUUUUAUUAAUCACCCAAAGCUUUAACAAAAUAAUUCAAGUCGAAAGCUAAUCACUCACACAAUCCGUGAUUGAUUCAACAACAUAUCCAUCAAUAUAUAUAGGACUAGAUAACUCCUAAUCCUAAUAGAAAUACCAUUUUCAAUAUUUCUUAAUCCAUUUAGAUAAACAUAACAAGUUAGGAUUAGGAUAGCUUGUGUCUCAAGCUAACUCCAAGCUUAAACCAACAGAAGGUAACUAACUAACUAUCACCAGCGACUUUGUUCAAACGUUUCUAAUUGUUGGAUGCGAUUUAGGGUUAAAGGCUUCUAGAUCAUAGUUAUAACAUACGACGUUUUCCAAUAGCUCGUAGUCACAUAGUUCGAAGGAGCUAUUAAUGAAUUUUUGAGAAUAUUUCCAGAUAUAAGUUCUUUGAAUGCAUCACAUAAAGUUCUCCUUCAACUUUUUGAUGCAGGCUUUCAUGUACAUGAAGAGAUCUCUUCAAAUUCCAGAAGAAUAUCACCCUUUAAGACUGUUCCUUCAUCCCCUUUUUCUCAUUUGAAACUCUGUGUUUUACAUCACGAGUGUCCUGUUUCUCAGGCUUGAAACAACGGUUGAUUCGUGAAAGCUUUGUGGAGGGUCUGGAAAAGCUUCCUUGAUGAGGUUUUCACUGGUCUCAAACAUUUAAGCCAUAGCUCGUUUAUAUAGUUCCAUCAUUCAGAGAAACCAAAGUUUUCUUCUCCUAAAAUCUGAAUGCUUGCUCAUCUCUCAUCCAGGCACAAGUCGCAAUGCUUCCAUCUCAAGGAAACAAAUUCGUUAAUAUAGUACCACGUCUUUAACCACAGUUUUGAGACAAAUUGAACAUGCAACAAAGCCAAAACCAUCUCCUUC
rnacentral:lncRNA from 1 species